AUUCUUCUUAUAUGGCGACGAUGGUGGCACCUUUUUAGGGAUGGCUAGCCCUGGCCCUGACCUUGAAUGUGCACUUCUGGAAGCUCUCCAGCAGAUGAGAACACAACCGAACUGUAGCAGCCUCUUCAAGUUUCUGCAUCCAGGAGACACCGUGUGGCCAUUGCAGUCAUCACAACUUCUCAGGUUUCUCGUUGCAGCCUUAAAGAGCUUCUGUCCUUCCUCCAGGAAAGCCUGGAGAAGAGUUUAAAAAUGAACACCUUGAAACACCAGGCUUCAUGGCUAGCUCUGUUUAUUUUAUGCCAUUUGGACUUGGAGACUCCCAUUUCCCAUCAUCCACUGCUAUGUAGGUUUCUCAAAGGUGCAUCCCUCCUCUCACCAUGAUUGUGUCACCCUUUUCCUAUAUGGGGCGUGCACACAGUAUUGAGAGUAUUGAAUUUGCCCCCGUUUGGGCAUAAGGUGCCUCUGCGAAUUAAAAGGUGGCCUUCCUUACAGCUAUCGCAAUGGCUAGAGAAGUUUUAUAGCUGCAGACCGUCUCUUAUCAAGGACCAUCUCUGUAUUUUCUCAAGGGAUGCAGUAAAACUCAAAUAAAACAUUCAUCCCUCAAGUAAAUUCUCACUUUCACAGACCGGAAGACAUAUACCUACCAUCGUUUUGCCCUCAUUCAGUUCACCCAAGGGUAAGAGUUUUUAUGCCAG